UGGAACAAAACUCUGCAGGGCUCUUGCCCUCCAGAAACUGAUUUUGACACCCCAGCUUUAAGUCUAUUUCUCUGAAGCUCACUGCUGCCCUCUAUACACAGGUGUUUGACUUCACUUUUCCAGACAGGAAAUGACAUCACAGAUGCACCUGGAGCCCGUCUCUGUCCAACAUGCCAUCGGCGCGCUUUCUAUCACACUACAAACAUGAUUAAUCCAGUUACUUUUCUGCA